AGUGAACGCUGGCGGUAGGCCUAACACAUGCAAGUCGAACGGCAGCACAGUAAGAGCUUGCUCUUACGGGUGGCGAGUGGCGGACGGGUGAGGAAUACAUCGGAAUCUACUUUUUCGUGGGGGAUAACGUAGGGAAACUUACGCUAAUACCGCAUACGACCUACGGGUGAAAGCAGGGGAUCUUCGGACCUUGCGCGAUUGAAUGAGCCGAUGUCGGAUUAGCUAGUGGGCGGGGUAAAGGCCCACCAAGGGGACGAUCCGUAGCUGGUCUGAGAGGAUGAUCAGCCACACUGGAACUGAGACACGGUCCAGACUCCUACGGGAGGCAGCAGUGGGGAAUAUUGGACAAUGGGCGCAAGCCUGAUCCAGCCAUACCGCGUGGGUGAAGAAGGCCUUCGGGUUGUAAAGCCCUUUUGUUGGGAAAGAAAAGCAGCAGGUUAAUACCCCGCUGUUCUGACGGUACCCAAAGAAUAAGCACCGGCUAACUUCGUG
rnacentral:rRNA from 1 species